rnacentral:rRNA from 1 species
CGCAGCCGCGGUAAUUCCAGCUCCAAUAGCGUAUAUUAAAGUUGUUGCAGUUAAAAAGCUCGUAGUUGAAUUUCGGGAUCAAUACGUCGGUCGUGCUUCGGUACGUACUGGCGUAAUUGAUUUCUCCCUUCUGACGAACCAUGAUGUCAUUAACUUGGUGUCAUGGGAAAUCAGGACUGUUACUUUGAAAAAAUUAGAGUGUUUAAAGCAAGCUAACGCUUGAAUACAUUAGCAUGGAAUAAUGAGAUAGGACGUUUGAUUCUAUUUUGUUGGUUUCUAGGAUCGACGUAAUGAUUAAUAGGGAUAGUUGGGGGCAUUAGUAUUCAAUUGUCAGAGGUGAAAUUCUUGGAUUUAUUGAAGACUAACUACUGCGAAAGCAUUUGCCAAGGAUGUUUUCAUUAAUCAAGAACGAAAGUUAGGGGAUCGAAGACGAUCAGAUACCGUCGUAGUCUUAACCAUAAACUAUGCCGACUAGGGAUCGGAUGAUGUUAAUUUUUAAUUGACU